rnacentral:pre_miRNA from 7 species
CCACAACUUAAAUGUGGAUGUGCUUGCUUUGUUCUGAAAAGAAAGUGCUUCCAUGUUUUAGUGAUGG